GACGAACGCUGGCGGCGUGCUUAACACAUGCAAGUCGAACGGUAAGGCCCUUCGGGGUACACGAGUGGCGAACGGGUGAGUAACACGUGGGUGAGCUGCCCUGCACUUCGGGAUAAGCCUGGGAAACUGGGUCUAAUACCGGAUAGGACUCCGGACUGCAUGGUCUGGGGUGGAAAGCUUGUGCGGUGUGGGGUGGGCCCGGGGCCUAGCAGCUUGUUGGUGGGGUGAUGGCCUAUCAAGGCGACGACGGGUAGCCGGCCUCGGCGGGUGGACGCCCACACGGGGACUGAGAUACGGCCCAGGCUCCUACGGGAGGCAGCAGUGGGGAAUACUGCACAGUGGGCGCAAGGCUGAUGCAGCGACGCCGCGUGAGGGAUGACGGCCUUCGGGUUGUAAACCUCUUUCAGCAUCGACGAAGCGAAAGGGACGGUAGGUGCAGAAGAAGGACCGGCCAACUACGUGCCAGCCGCCGCAGUAA
rnacentral:rRNA from 1 species